rnacentral:lncRNA from 1 species
ACACACGCGUGCACAGAUGCACGACAUACAUAUAGUUGAGACCAACAAAUGGUUGCCCCAUAUGGUGAACAAUUUAUUGGAGAUAAACAUUAACAUAACUUGGCCAUAGCUUGAAGCAUAGCAACAUAUGCCUAUGAAUGGCAUUCAUGCUGGUAGCAAUGCAAUCAUAUCGUUUUAGGCUUGUCCAGCUUCUUCCAUCUUAGCAAGCACUCCCAUUUCUUCCAUCUUAGCAACAACUGUCAAACUGAGAUAUGAAAAUCCCGUUAGCACAUGAGUUAGUUUUGCAGUGGAAAUAGAGUACAAGAUGUCUUCAUGAUGUAAGUAACAUGCCUGAAGUUGUGAGAUGGGAAGUGAAGUCAACAAAUUACAUUAACGGAAAUGCAUGGAAGGCCACGCAUGCAUACGUAUUAGUCCACGAUAUGCUACAAAGCCUUGUAUGUACACAUAACAAAUUAAAUGCAUUGAAUAGAGUGAGUUUAGUGAAUUUUACCGGAAUCGGUCAGAGUACAUGGGAAACAGCAAGUGUUCUUGCAGAUGAAGUCGGGGCUACCCGCAGCAAUACAAGCAAAACAACAUGCUUUUGCUCGGGUGGAUACGCAGCAGCCGCACUGUGCCGCGGUGGCCGGGUUAACAUUGAGGCUCAAGAUGACCAGGCACAUGAUCACCAUCAAAGCGGUAGUCCUCUUUCCCUCCAUUGCCUUCUCUUGCUGCUACCUUCCUUGGUUACCUAGCUAAGUUUAUUGGUUUUGUGUUGAGAGGUGAUUCUUGAAUGGACGUUGCCGGCUGCAAUUUACAUGGUAGGCAAAAAUGGAGGGGAGAUUUACUCCCGGUUGGUAUUUGCAACUGGGACUAAAGGCCCCCCUUUAGUCCCGGUUGUAACGGCUAGUUCUAGGGCGUCGGUGGGUUUACUGGCUCCAACCGGGACAAAAGGGUGGGUGGACCUUUUGUCCUGGUUGGUGUUACCAACCGGGACAAAUAGUUUACUCCCGGUUGGAGGUUCCAACCGGGACAAAAGGGCCACCCCUUUUGUCCCGGUUGGAGCCUCAAACCGGGAGUAAACUUUCAACCGGGACAAAAGGUGUUUCUUUUUGUGUCGGUUGGAGUUUCUAACCGGGAUAAAAACUCAUCCCCAUUAUAUACCAAGACAGAGGCCUUUCUUCCUCCUCCAGCCCGAGCCAGUCCACCACAAAGACAGAGAGCUCAGCUUCACCUACUCUCCGGUGGUGUCGAAGCAAGGGAGGUGCUGCCCGAAUUUCUUUUCCCUCAUUUUCGUGGGAAUUUCACUCAGCCAACACAAGUGUUGUGAAGGUUUGCUACUUCAUCCUCGUGUUACGCUUUAAUUUAUGCUUUGGAGAUGGAAAGUUUAUUUGCUAGAAUGUGAUGAAGUAGAAAAUGGAGAGGUACUUUGAGCUAGAAUGUGAGGGAGAUUGAUGUGUCAUAUAUAGUAUGUAUUCUUGCAGUGAUUUAAGAAUGAUGCUACCUUGUCUAGACGGUUUAUCUUAUCAAAUUCAAUAUGGUUUUUAAAAUCCAUACUUGUUGAACUUGCAUACCGUGUUCAUGUCGGCGAGAAUGUUCUCUGCCGAGCAGCUACGUAUGUCAAGAAGGAGGUUCGAUUCUACGAGAAAGAGUGGAUACGGACAUCGUGACCGUGUCCCCUUUUUCGUAGAAUCGAACCUCUUUCAUGACGAAGUGCGGUGCCGCCAACUAGGUANNNNNNNNNNNNNNNNNNNNNNNNNNNNNNNNNNNNNNNNNNNNNNNNNNNNNNNNNNNNNNNNNNNNNNNNNNNNNNNNNNNNNNNNNNNNNNNNNNNNNNNNNNNNNNNNNNNNNNNNNNNNNNNNNNNNNNNNNNNNNNNNNNNNNNNNNNNNNNNNNNNNNNNNNNNNNNNNNNNNNNNNNNNNNNNNNNNNNNNNNNNNNNNNNNNNNNNNNNNNNNNNNNNNNNNNNNNNNNNNNNNNNNNNNNNNNNNNNNNNNNNNNNNNNNNNNNNNNNNNNNNNNNNNNNNNNNNNNNNNNNNNNNNNNNNNNNNNNNNNNNNNNNNNNNNNNNNNNNNNNNNNNNNNNNNNNNNNNNNNNNNNNNNNNNNNNNNNNNNNNNNNNNNNNNNNNNNNNNNNNNNNNNNNNNNNNNNNNNNNNNNNNNNNNNNNNNNNNNNNNNNNNNNNNNNNNNNNNNNNNNNNNNNNNNNNNNNNNNNNNNNNNNNNNNNNNNNNNNNNNNNNNNNNNNNNNNNNNNNNNNNNNNNNNNNNNNNUGUUGAUUUUAUUGACUCAAUUGACUCGAUUGGGGUUCCAACUUCACGCCACGAGGGGAGGCUCCGGGAAAUGGGCACCCUUGGAAGGAAAUCAAGUUUGAGCAAUGAUACUGAUUUGUUCGACAAGGCACACUACACUGUUCUGCAAUAGUCAUCCUUUGUGUCUCCCUAUAUCGAGCAGCACAGGCAGAUGGUAGUUUUCCAAAAACCUGAUGAAAUCCGAUGCUUGGCUUACACAUCAUCACAUGGAAACUUUUUCCUCCUGGUUGCGCCAACAACUCAUGGGUAACUCUGAGAUUUACCCACAGCUCGCUUGGUUAGCCAGGGGACCUGCUAGCACAAUCGUGAAAUUCCAAGGCUAUGAGAUAAAUAGUUAUACAUUUUACACGAGAGCCCAGGACCAGAAAAGCACGAACCAGAAUAGUGGUGUCCGCAUAGAUGCCAUAGAUAGAAAUAAUAACAAGGAGUCGUAUUAUGGUUUCAUACAGGAGAUAUGGGAACUCGAAUAUGGACCGCUGUACAUCUCUGUAUUUCUUUGCAAUUGGGUGAAGCUAACUGCCGUAACCAAAGAUCAGUACGGAAUGACAAUAGUAGAUCUGAGCAAGACUGGAUACAGUGAUGACCCAUUCGUACUUGCGAAUGAUGUGCAUCAGGUUUUCUAUGUGAAGGACAUGUCUAGCAAACCCAAGAGAAAUCCAGAAGAGACAUGGGAGCCAAAGUGCCACAUAGUUCUUCCAGGUAAAGAAAAAUCGUUGGAGUCGAGGANNNNNNNNNNNNNNNNNNNNNNNNNNNNNNNNNNNNNNNNNNNNNNNNNNNNNNNNNNNNNNNNNNNNNNNNNNNNNNNNNNNNNNNNNNNNNNNNNNNNNNNNNNNNNNNNGAUCAUGAUCAAGGAACUUUUGUGAAGAAGAAAUUUUACAACGUUGUAUUGUAAUGCGCUAAAUUUACUUGACCUUUGUGAAGUACUUGAUACAAUUUUUAAUUUAACCUAUGUAUGAUUUCAUGUGUUCUUAAAUUUGUUGAGGUGAAGAUUUAUUAGAUAAACAUGAACAAUGUUAACCACAUACAUACAUGGAUUUUUUUUGCGCGUUGAAAUUAUUUAAUUGAAUAAUUUCUCGAUCAUUGCGAUGCAGUAAAAUAAUUAUUUUAGAGGCUAAACGAACUGGUAUAGAAUUAAUGACUAAUUCACACUUAUUGUCAAUAUACUGGCUAAUUAAAUAUAUUUUUGCAUGUUCAAAAUAUGUGAAGUUUUUUGUUUUUGCAUCCUGAAAUGCAGUGAAAACAUACAUAAAAUCCUUUUCCAAAAAACAGGCGGGAGAUGAAAGUGUGGGAAAAGGCCCUUUUGUCCCGGGUGCCAAUAGAAACCGAGACAAAAGGACCUUUUAUCCCUGUUGCCAAAAGCAACCGGGAUCAAAGGCCGUCCCUUUUGUCUCGGGUGCCAACACCAAUCGGGACAAAAGGCCCCCUGUUUAUCCCGGUUGACAACUACAACCGGGAUAAAAGGGUAGUUUUCGUUUCCCACCGGGGACGUACCCUUUUAUCCUGGUUACAGUUAGCAACCGGGAUAAAAGGGGGGCCCUUUUGUCCCGGUUGGUGUUGGUACCCAGGACAGAAGGGCCUUUAGUCCCGGGUUCAAUUACGAACCGGGAUAAAAGAGGGGGGGGGGGAUAAAAGGCACUGUAGCCUCUUCUACCACCACCCACGCUAGUUACGACACUUAGCCAAAUUUUCACCGCUGCCAAGAUCCCGUGCCCUUCCACCUGCUCCGUCGCCGCCCAUCCGCCUCCCUCGCCGGCCGCCGUCGUCCUCGUCGUCCAUCGCCCCGACCAUCGUCGUCCCGCCGCCCGACCGCCUCGCCCGCGCCCGGACCGCCUCCUCCUCCAUCGCCCCGGCCCGCCUCCGAUCCUCCUCCGUCGCGCCCCCUCGACCUCGUCGCCGCCGGCCGCCUCCAUCGCGGGGCCUCGUCGCCGCCUCCAUCAACGCCACAUUCUCUGUCGCCGCCGCGCCCUCGUUCGUCGCGCCGCCUCGUCGCCGCCUCUGUCGCGCGCGCCGCCUCCGUCCUUCGUCGCCGGCCGCCUCCGUCCCUCGUCGUCGGCCGCCUCCGCCCGUUGUUGCUGCGGCCACCUCGCUCCGUCCCCGCCUCCGCCAUCCCACCGCCCCGGCCGCCGCCGUCACGCCGUCCCGGCCAUCUCGUCGCCCAGCUAGGCACCGCGCGAGGUCCGCCGGCACUGGCGCCGGGAACGAACGGCUCUUGCUGACGCAAACCCACCGGCUUGUCGUAAGCAAGGGCCUUUUUUAUUUUUUAGUUAGAAAAUGAAUAGAUAUUAGUAGAUUAGUUAGAAAAUCAAUAGAUAUUUGUAGAUUAGUUAGAAAAUUAGUAGAAAAUCAGUUGAUAAAUUUUGUAGAAAUUCAUUCAAAUUAGUAGGAAUUAGUAGUAAUGUGCUAGAAAUUCAAAUAAAUAUGUUGAAAUUAGUAGAAAUUUGGUAGAAAUUCUUACAAAGUACUACUAAUUUGUUGAAAUUUGUAUAAACAUUCCAAACUUUGUGGGAUUCAUGUUAUUGUAAAAUUAUUAGGCAUUAGUAGAAAUUUUGUAGAAAUUCCAAUAAAUAUGUAGAAAUUAGUAGAAAUUUGGUAGAAAUUCUUACAAAGUACUACUAAUUUGUUGAAAUUUGUAUAAACAUCUCGGAUCAGCGCUUGGGUUCUGUAAGUGUCCGUUUAUCUACAUGUAAAUUUUGCCUCAUAUCAUUAUUUUUUUUGCGUGCGUCACCGUACUAACUUCGUCUUCCAUUUUAUGUAGCAUGCUAAUUCAGACGUGCCGACGUGAGGCGUACCUACAUAUUGGCUUCAUGAAUCCAUCCGUAGUUAACCAAAAACAGAUACAAUUAUCGCCGGAAAAAACCUUGGUGGAAGUAUACAAUUUCCUAGAUAAACAAAAAUUCAAGGAUUUCAUACUACUUCCAUACAACUUCAAGUAAGUGUGUGUAUACCGUCUACUUUCGUUGUCUUUUUCCUUACCUGAUUAAUUAGUUAGCUCUAAUAUGCAUGAACAUUUUACGUACGCAACUUCCACUGGAUCCUCAUUAUAGUUGAGCUUGAAAGAAGCCAUGUCACUGUCUUCGAUUUGUUGAGGAAAGAUCCAGUGGAGUACCAAGACAUGCAAGACAUGCUAGGCUUGUAAUAAUUCUGGACCUUUAUCUCUAUGCAAAAGUUUGUUUCCUAAAUUUUAUCCCUGUUACACUAUAUCAUUCAUUAUUCUAAUCUACAGCGCAUGGAAACAAUUCAUAAGGACACACAAAGAUCCAUUCAAAGAAAAACUUACAUGGAACACAGACUUCCCGUUACGUAUGAAGUCUGCACAUUUAGUACAUUGUAUAACACGAAUAUUUCAUAACUUAUUUUUUUCGGCACUGAAGUGCUUAAGACAGGAACUCGGGAAUAAUCUAUGUGGCUACUACAUCUGUGAGCACAUGCACAGUUUUAUGGGACCCAAGGGACUAAAGAUGAUGCCGCAAAACUUUAAAGUACGUAAAAUAAAACUAUUACUAGUUAAUUAUUUUCUAGCUCCUUAUAUUUAAUUGUUCGUGUAACAUUCACAAAUUUCCAAAUUAUAGAUGUUAAAUAUUCAACAAGGACUCUUGAAGAAAAAAAAGGGUAGCGGCAAUAUGUGAAGGUCUCAUUGGAUUCCUAAUGGACGAGGUGGUAAAUCCACAAGGAGAAUUUUAUUACGAUGGACGUCAAUUAGACGCUCCGAGCAACACCUCGACGGGAAGAUUGUAGAUAUAUAGUUUGAUUUGUAUACAUAAUGCACGCUAAGAUCGAUUUGUAUAUAUAGUUGAUUUCAUUAUACUAGUUGAAUUUUGUAUAUGAAUUGUGUAUAUAUAGUAAUUGUAUAAUUACAAAUUUUAUUCGUUUAAAUACUAGUUGAUUUCAUUAUAAAAAAAGUCUCAACUACUAAAGGUUAACAAAAGGGCCGCGGUACUACGUACGUGAUGCAUGAAAAUUUCAGACGCCAUGCAGGAAAAUUUAAAUAGGACUUUAGUCUCGGUUGGGAAAUCCAACCGGGACUAAAGGGUAACCACUCAUGUGCGCCACCUGUAUUCUACCAAGUGGCAUGUGGUAAUGCCAUGUUUGUUUUAAUUUCGUCCAUCAGCAUUCACAAUGAUAUCAUCACCAUUAUGUAAUUAUGCCACUUUUAAUUUUCUUGCAACUCUGUGAAGUUAACAGUCUCUGAUCAAGUUUCUGAGGAUUGCUAUAUCUUUGUUUAUUAUCUACGGAAGUUGACAGCACAUCCACCAUAAUUCAUGGCCCACCAGACUCUAAGUCCACUGCGAGUAUAUAUUAAUUUGUUUUAAUCCGACUAUACUAGAUGUGUACCAAUCAUUCGAUGUGAGGGACGAACUAAUUGUUUCUUGUCGACUAUUGCACCGUACCUCUCGUUUUCCAAACAAUUAAAUGGUACCCUUCCAUGAUGGUUAAAACAUACCGACUAUCUAUAUUAUUGCUUUCUUGAGCAUACCAAAGGGAACGAGAUAAUCACAGACAAGAUAUUAUAUACUAAAAGGUACAGAAAUAAAUAUAAAUUAAUCACGAGUUAAUUGGUAUGAUGAUGUUAUAGAUCAUUUAUAUACUGCGCCGUUCAACUUCUGUGGCCUGUCCGGCUUCUUCCUUUCCCCAUAUAAUGUAAUACGUUCAACUCAAAUGAAUGAAAUCAAAUUAUGCGUGUAUUAUUCUCGCUUUCAGUAGGGGCUAAAUCUCUCGAAAAUCCAUCCGGGAUAAAGAUGAGAAAUUAAUCCAUGCGUGGCUUCAUGCAAAUUUGUUCAGAUCAGGUUUGAACAGCAUGUAAUCUUUUUCAGGCAUCUAUAUGGAGCGUGGGUGUGUUAUGUUAUCUUCUACUACACAUAUAACAUUAAAUUCAUUCAGUUUGGCCGAGAGCCCAAAAUGCAACGAAUAUGCCAUCCAACGUGAAAAAAAGAUGUGGAACAGUAUACUCUAUCUUCGAAAUUAAUUAACGAGAUUCAGCUUCAAAAGAGAUAAGAGCAGACAAGAGGCACAUGGGUGCAUGCAUCCACACCUUGGGAUGCUGCAAAAUUUGGGAUCACGUGUGCGGAUCCCUAAUUAGGAAAAAAGAAUAAUUGUGCUAGCAAAAUGUGGAACACGACUGCCGGCCCAGUUGGCGCUAAGACAUCGUACGUGCAUUAAGUCUGAGGUGCCCAACGAUCUCUUUCUUUAACUCAUGCUUGACUGUGACGGUGCUAUUAUAUAAUAUUGCAUGAUCAUCAUGAUAAGAUCGUAUAGUGACUGAGUGAGACAUGUACUAUAACUUGCAUUUAAGCCUCGAACUGUGUGUCGUUACGUGAGCUGCCUCCUCUCCUCGCCUCUGAAUUAUUGAACCGUUUCCAACAGUGUUGGUCUCGACGAAAUUUGACACCAACCAGAUUUACGAAGAAAAGAGAAUAAUACUUGGAAUUGGGAAAAGUUGAUCUCUCUUUACAAUGGGUAGGUGCUCCCCUUUUAUAGUGACCCAUGACCCCCUUUACAUUCCAAAAAUAUCCUUUCUCAACCACUACAUUCCUAGGAUAUGCCGUACAAAUUGAACUCUUCCACGUGGUCACAUUUCUCACGCCUCCUGUUUUCCAACCUCGAGACUUCAUCUUCACGCCAAGUUGAUCAUCUAGCCUCGAGGCUCCAUCCACGAUCCGGAAUGAACGUCCAGCCUCGAGGCUCCUGCUUGUUAGAAGAACCGUCGUAUGAGACGAGGAUUGUAUCUUAGAGAUAAGAGUUGUUAUGGUUUGAGUUGGCCGGCUAGUAGAUAGAGAUAGAAUCUUGAUGUAUUUGAAUGCUGGCUAAACUUUAUCUAUAACAAGAUGCAUUGUAAUCUGUUGGGACUUUCCCCCUAUAUAAACGUGCAACCACGGCGAGCCAAGAUAGGGCAACCGUGUUCAACUCUUUUGACAUGGUAAUCAGAGCCCUUCUUCCAUAAAAUACAUCUACAUCUACACCACCUGGCGCACGCCACCUUGUUGCCUGGCACACGUCAUCACCUUGCAUGCAACAGUCAUGGUGUCAUCAUCGUCGUCGUCAGCCACUGCGCCCACGGCGUCGCAGCUUGGAGCUCCUGUAGCUGAAAAGCUUACAGGGGAGAAUUAUGUCUUAUGGAAGGCUCAAUUCUUGCCUGCUGUGCGGGCGCACAGCUCAUGGGAGUCCUCAAUGGAUCUGUCAAGGAGCCGGCUAAGACCAUGGAACUGGUGAAGGCUGACGGCAAGAAAGAAUUAGUCGCUAACCCGGAUUAUGAUCUAUGGGUGGUGAAGGAUUAACAACUGCUGAGUUAUCUGCUCAACUCCAUGACCAAAGAAGUGCUGGCACAAGUGGUGUCCGAAACAACUCUAUGGGUGGAGAAAGCAGUGCUUCGUUAUUUGCGAAGAUGUCAUGAAGAUGCUGUUGCGGCGGGUCAGGAACCUCCUUUUGGUGGUCGUUAUGCUCCACCGCCAUUCCCGGGUGUUUUAGGUCCACUUAUUAGUACUACUGUUGCAGGAGGUACAGAUAAACCACAUGAUGAGGCUGCCUCAGCGAAACCUUCAUCUUCGCCGCCCAAGGAUGCAUGAAGUCCUUCUAGAUAGUACUAAGUGGAUGGUUUGUCGUAGUGUAUCAUGUUGUUGUUGCUCUCAAAUUUAAAUUUGUGUAUUUCUACGUAAACUUUCAGCAACAUUUGAGUGUAAUCAAUUUUCACGCGUAAUCCAUUGUCAAGUGUAAUCCAUUUUCAUGCGUAAUACGAUGCAGAUGGACCGGCAAUGGAUGUAUAAUGCAGACAGGCGGAGCAAGGUGUUUAUUGAUGGCUUGUAUUAUUUUCUCGAAGUGGCCAAAGCGAACAAGCUAGAGAAUGGGUUCGUAUGUUGUCCAUGCUUCCAAUGCAAUAACAAGAAGGAGUAUUCAAAGGAUUCCUGGGGGACUAUUCACAGCCACUUGUUUAAAUACGGUUUCAUGCCUAACUAUUUGGUUUGGACCAAGCACGGUGAACUAGGGGUCGUAAUGGAAGAUGGCGAGGAGGAGGAGGAAGAUGACACCAUUUCGGACUGGGUUGCAGGCCAAGCUUUUGCAGGUACUACAAUGGGCGAGGCUGAUGAAGAUGGGUUUGCAGAAAAUGGCCCUACUGAUGACCUUGGUCAGGUGAUACGAGAUGCAUACAGAGAUUGCGAAACUGAGAAGGAAGCAGCAAAGUUGCAGCGCAUGAUAGAUGAUCACCAAAAAUUGUUGUACCCAAGUUGCCAGCAGGGCCAUAAAAAACUAGGUACGAUACUAGAAUUUGUGCAAUGGAAGGCAAAAAAUGGUGUGUCCGAUAAGGCAUUUCAGGGGACGUUGAACAUUGUCAAGAAGAUUCUCCCCGAGAAUAAUGAAUUACCGUGCACAACAUAUGAAGCUAAACAGAUUAUUUGCCCUCUCGGAUUGGAUGUUCAGAAGAUACACGCAUGCCCUAAUGACUGUAUCCUCUAUCGUGGUGAUGAAUAUGAGAAAUUGGAUGUUUGUCCCGUCUGCGAAGCCCUGCGGUAUAAGAUCAGGCGAGAUGAUCCUGGUGAUAUCGAGGGGCAGUCUCCCAAGAAGAGAGUUCUCGCGAAGGUGAUGUGGUAUUUCCCUAUAAUACCACGCUUGAAGCGCUUGUUCAGGAACAAGGCGAAUGCUAAGUUGAUGCGAUGGCACAAAGAAGACCGUAAGGAAGAUGAGAUGCUGAGACACCCCGCAGAUGGGGCACAACGGAGAUCAAUUGAUAGAGCAUUCCCGGACUUUGAAAGUGAAGCAAGGAACAUAAGGUUUGGUUUAAGUACUGAUGGAUUCAAUCCAUUCGGUGAGUUGAGUAGUGGCCAUAGUACUUGGCCUGUGACCCUUUGUAUGUUCAACCUUCCUCCUUGGCUGUGCAUGAAGUGGAAGUUCAUUAUGAUGCCGGCGCUUAUCCAAGUCCCAAAACAACCCGGCAACGACAUUGACGUGUACCUAAGACCGUUGGUUGAUGACCUUUUACAGCUCUGGAAGGAAGAAGGUGUACGUGUGUGGGAUGAGGAUAGACAAGAGAUCUUUAAUCUACGAGCAUUGUUGUUCGUAACCAUCAAUGAUUGGCCUGCAUUGAGUAACCUUUCAGGACAGACAAAUAAGGGAUAUCGGGCAUGCACCCACUGUUUAGACGACACAAACAACAUGUAUUUGAAGCAUUGUAAGAAGGUCAUCUAUAUGGGUCAUCGUUGAUUUCUCCCUGCUCACCACCAGCUGAGAAAGAGCGGGAUGCAUUUCAAAGGGGCGCCAGACCAUCGUAAAAAACCUGCACACCGUAAUGGAAAGCGUGUCUUCGAGAUGAUGAAGGAUGUAAAUGUAGUCUUUGGAAAGGGUCUUGGUAGCCAACCUGUUCCGAACGACGAUAACGGACAUGCACCCAUGUGGAAGAAAAAGUCAAUAUUUUGGGAGCUACCUUAUUGGGAAAUCCUAGAGGUUCGCAACGCAAUAGACGUGAUGCACCUGACGAAGAAUCUUUGCGUGAACGUGCUAGGCUUCAUGGGUGUUUAUGGGACCUCAAAAGAUACAUUGGAAGCACGACAGGACCUGAAAGCCAUGGGGCAACGAGAUGACCUACAUCCGGAAAAGAGAGAUAAUGGACAUCACUACUUACGUCCUGCCAGUUACACUCUCAGCAAGGAAGAGAAGGAUAGCAUGUUUGAAUGCUUGAAUAGUAUGAAGGUCCCGUUUGGGUACUCCUCGAAUAUAAAAGGAAUAAUAAAUAUGAAACAAAAGAAGUUUACAAAUCUCAAGGCUCAUGACUGCCACAUGUUGAUGACCCAGUUGCUUCCAGUUGCACUGAGGGGUGUUCUACCAGAAAAUGUCCGGUUGCCGCUCGUAAAGCUAUGCGCGUUUCUCAAUGCGAUUUCGCAAAAGGCAAUCGAUCCAUCCAAGCUAUCAAAGCUACAGAACGAUGUGGUGCAAUGUCUUGUCAGUUUUGAGUUGUUAUUUCCACCAUCCUUCUUCAAUAUUAUGACGCACUUACUGGUUCACCUAGUUAAAGAGAUUGGUAUUCUCGGACCUGUAUACCUGCACAAUAUGUGGCCUUUCGAGAGGUUCAUGGCAGUCCUAAAAAACUAUGUUCUUAAUCGUGCCUGUCCAGAAGGAAGCAUUGUCAAGGGAUAUGGAAUAGAGGAGGUGAUCGAGUUUUGUGUUGAUUUUAUUGAUUCAAUUGACUCGAUUGGGGUUCCAACUUCACGCCAUGAGGGGAGGCUUCGAGGAAUGGGCACCCUUGGAAGGAAAUCAAGUUUGAGCAAUGAUACUGAUUUGUUCGACAAGGCACACUACACUGUUCUACAACAGUCAUCCUUCGUGUCUCCGUAUAUCGAGCAGCACAGGCAGAUGGUAGUUUCCAAAAACCCGACCAAAUCCGAUGCUUGGCUUACCCGUCAUCACAUGGAAACUUUUCCCUCCUGGUUGCGCCAACAACUUAUGGGUAACUCUGAGAUUCACCCACAGCUUGCCUGGUUAGCCAGGGGACCUGCUAGCACAAUCGUGAAAUUCCAAGGCUAUGAGAUAAAUGGUUAUACAUUUUACACGAGAGCCCAGGACCAGAAAAGCACGAACCAGAAUAGUGGUGUCCGCAUAGAUGCCAUGGACAGAAAUAAUAGCAAGGAGUCGUAUUAUGGUUUCAUACAGGAGAUAUGGAAACUCGAAUACGGACCGCUGUACAUCCCUAUAUUUCUUUGCAAUUGGGUGAAGCUAACUGCCGUAACCAAAGAUCAGUACGGAAUGACAAUAGUAGAUCUGAGCAAGACUGGAUACAGUGAUGACCCAUUCGUACUUGCCAAUGAUGUGCAUCAGGUGUUCUAUGUGAAGGACAUGUGUAGCAAACCCAAGAGAAAUCCAGAAGAGACAUGGGAGCCAAAGUGCCACAUAGUUCUUCUAGGUAAAAGAAAAAUCGUGGGAGUCGAGGAUAAAACAGACCAAUCAGAUGAUUAUGAUCAGUUUGAUGGCAUGCCUCCAUUCGCCGUUGAAGUUGAUCCAAGCAUCCUGCUAUCUAAAGAAGAGGCUCCGUACUUACGCCGCGAUCAUGAUCAAGGAACUUUCGUGAAGAAGAAAUUUUACAACGUUGUAUUGUAAUGCGCUAAAUUUACAUGACCUUUGUGUAUUAAUUGAUACAAUUUUUAAUUUACCCUAUGUAUGAUUUCAUGUGUUCUUAAAUUUGUUAGGUGAAGAUUUUUUAGAUAAACAUGAACAAUGUUAACCACACACAUACAUGGAUUUUUCUGCGCAUUGAAAUUAUUUAAUUGAAUAAUUCUUGAUCACAGCGAUGCAGUAAAAUAAAUAUUUUAGAGGCUAAAUGAACUGGUAUAGAAUUAAUGACUAAAUCACACUUAUAGUCAAUUUACUCGCUAAUUAAAUAUAUUUUUGCAUGUACAAAAAUAUGUGAAGGUUUUUGUUUUUCAUCCUGAAAUGCAGUGAAAAGAUAAAUAAAAUCCAUUUCCAAAAAACUUGCGGGAGAAGAAAACUAGGAAAAAGACCUUUUGUCCCGGGUGCCAACAGCAACCGCGACAAAAGGCGUCCCUUUUAUCCCGGCUGCAAACUGCAACCGGGAUAAAAGGGUAUUUUUCGACUCCCGCCUGGACGUACCCUUUUAUCCCGGUUGCCAACUGCAACCGGGAUAAAAGGUCCCCCCCUUUUAUCCCGGUUGGUGGUGGGAUCCGGGAUAAAAGGGUAGGCUCCCAGGCCAUCCUGGCGGACGCACCCUUUUGUCCCGGGUGCCAUUACGAACCGGGAUAAAAGGGGGGGGGGUUAAAUGGCACUGUAGCCCCUUCUACCCCCCACGCCAGUUACACUUAGCAAAAUUUUCGCCAAGUCUGCGCGCGCUCUGCUCCAUCGCCGCCCGUCCGCCUCCCUCGCCGGCCGCCGCCGCCGUCGUCCCCCAUUGCCCCGGCUAUCGUCGUCCCGCCGCCGACCGCGCCCAGACAUCCUCCUCCUCCAUCGCCCCGGCCGGCCUGCCUCGAUCCUCCUCCGUCGCGCCCGACCCCUACCUCGUCGCAGCCGGCCACCAGCUCCAUCGCGGGCCUCGUCGCCGCCUCCAUCCUCGUCACCGCCUCGUCGCCCCGGGUCGCCGCCUCGUCGCCCUUCGUCGCCCCUCGUCGCCGCCUCAUCACCGUCCCGCCUCCGCCAUCCCGCCGUCCCGCGCGCCUUCGCUCCGUUGUCGCCUCCGCCGUCCCGCCGCCCCGGCCGUUACCGUCCCGCUGCCCCGGCCGCCGCCGUCCCGCCGCCCCGGCCACCUCGUCGCCCCGGCCACCGUCGACCGCGCGCGAGAGGUCCGCCGCGCCGGCCGGCACUGGCGCCGGGAGUACCGCCUUGCUGACGCAAGCCCACCGGCUUGCGUCAGCAAGGGCCUUUUUUUUAAGUUAGAAAAUAAAUAGGUAGUAAUUAGGUAGAAAUUCAAUAGAUUUCUGUAUAUGUGUUAGAAAAUCAAAAUAGUGUAAAUUAGUAGUAAUUAGUAGUAAUUAGGUUCAUCGCUCCGCCUAGGUUAGAAAUGAAUCGUGUUUCGUCGUGGUUCCGUCCCCGUCUCCGCCGUCCCGCCGCCCUGACCGCCAUCGUCCCAACCUAGGCACCGUCCGUGGUUCCGUCCCCGCCUCCGCCCUUCAGCCUCCGUCGCAAAUUCAUGUUAUUGCUAGAAAUUCCAAUAAAUAUGGACAAAUUAGUAGAAAUUUGGUAGAAAUUAAUCAUUGCUAAGGCCACCUCACUCCGUCCUUGCCUCCUUUGUUCCGCCGCCCCGGCCUCUGCAAAUUCAUGUUAUUGCUAGAAAAUCGUAAAAAUUCAUGUUAUUGCUAGAAAAUCGUAAAAAUUCAUGUUAUUGCUAGAAAUUCGUAAAAAUUCAUGUUAUUGCUAGAAACUCGUACAAAAUUCAUGUUAUUGCUAGAAAUUCGUAAAAAUUCAUGUUAUUGCUAGAAAUUCGUAAAAAUUCAUGUUAUUGCUAGAAAUUCGUACGAAUUCAUGUUAUUGCUAGAAAUUUGUCACAAAGUACUACUAAUUUGUAGAAAUUUGUAUAAAUAUUCCGAACUUUGUGGGAUUCAUGUUAUUUUAUGAUUUCAUGUAUAUACCCGUAUGUACAUAUAACUAAGGCGAUUUCUAUGACUGUCAUGUAUGAUUCCAUGUAUGUUUCAAUCAAUAGUUGAAAUGGCAGACGAUGAGACCGCAAGGUAUAUCAUGGAGCAGAUAAUCGCUGGUGAUGGUAGUGGCGACAACCUUUUACUAUCGUACAUGGAUAAAGAGGGCACCCAGGCGGACAUGUUCCUCAACAUGUUCGCUGAUGGGAAUGAAGAGCAAGAGCCCCAGCAACACCUUGCCGUGCCGGAAGGUUCCGGCGAGGUAUAUAUAAUGAUUCUUGUAUUGUUUCACACCACCGUUACUACUACGUACUAAUUAACGAAUCUUGAACUGUUAGCCCUCUGGAUCGACGCAAGGGCAGAAGACCCGAGGUCAUACAAAGGUGAUGGAAGGGAGGCUUGUCAUCACGGAAGUGACAGAAGAGGGCAGGUCGGUUUCUCCCGAGAAAGUAGCAAAGAAGUACGUGAGUCAGAUCGGGGCAAUCAUCCGGGACAACGUGCCUAUCAGCAUCAGAGAAUGGAAGGGCAGAAGCACUAAUCCGUACGUCCUCCCGGAGACAGAAAAGAAUAUGCUGUGGGAAGACGUCAAGAGACAUUUCACAUUCCCUGAAGGAUAUAUUGAGAAGGAUGUGAAAGCGUGGACGCUUAAGAAGAUGGCUACACAAUUCCAGACAUUCAAGAAGAUGCUGGAUACCCACUACAUUAAGAAGGGUCGAACUCCAGACUUCAACGCGUGGCCAAAGUUGAGGGACCACUGGGAUGCAUUUGUUGAAUAUAAGAGGAGUGAAGACGGUGUGAAAAAGAUCAUGACCAACACAACAAAUGCUAGUCAGAAGGGCUACCAUCAUCAUCUGGGGUGAGGUGGGUAUGGCUCAGCAAUUCCCAAGUGGAGGAAGAUGGAACAAGAUCUGAUCGAACGGGGAAUCGUACCGGCAACUAUUGAAUGGCCCGAACAAUCAAAAAAUUGGUACUACGCUCAUGGAGGCUCCUUGAGCCAAGAGGAUGGGACGUUGAUUUUCAAUGACACAAUACGUGAGAAGGCCGAACAUCUUGUGAAGAACAUUGAAGAUUCUAAGGCUGGGAGGUUGAAGGUGGACCGAGAAAAUAAUGAGCUCACAUUGGCCCUCGGUAAUCCGGAGCACCUAGGAUGUUGCCGGGGGUUCGGGGUCGUUCCGUGGAAGUUUGCUUUCCGAGGCGACAGCGCCUCGUACAGAAGCCGGAAGCGAAGAAAGGAACAGAUCGAGGAGAGCUAGCGGCAGAUGCUAGAAUCUAAAGUGCACGCACAAGAACAAAGAAUGAUGGAGGAAAUCUAUCGUCGAGUGGCCCACGCAGUUGCGGAGUUGGCCCAAUCUGGAGCAUUGCCGAAUCCUAACACCGCCAGCCCUUCUCAACGCCUCUUGAGCAGAUGUGCUUCUACAGGUGUCCCCGAUGCGCAGACGCCCAGGUUACCCGUGGAGGAGCAACGGUUCCCCGUGGAUGCCAUCAUGCAACGGACCUCAUGUGAGCUGCAUGCACCGGUCGGCAACCUCACUAUUAAGGUAUACUAGCUUAUACAUAAUAUUUAUGCAAUCUUGUCAAUUGAUCCACGCCUCGAGAUCGGAGUUCAACUUGUUUACUUCUGCUAUAUGUACAGGUAGCGUACGAGAGUGCGUUAGCAACGCUGGCGGGGCAGAGCAGUCAUGGCAUGGAGAUUCCACUUGGCUACGCCAGCGUCCGCGUAGAGCAAAUAGUUGAUAGCCAAUAUGAAGGUCUAGAGCUCGACCUCCCGGGAGGCGACGGGGAAAAGACACUGGAAGAUGCGCUUCAUGGGAUCAUUCUAUGGCGAAAACGCUACAUCAUUAUUCCCGGCACGGAGCCAUCUCCUCAGAGCUCAAGACCGCUCCCCGUAGAUCCCCAGCAGCGGCCUUCUCCUUAUAGCUCGAGACCGUCAUCUCCUGCACAACCUGCACCAGGACCGUCCCUUCCAUCUAUAUCAAGGUCUCCAUCUCCACCACAUCCUGGUGGUGGGAGCGACGACGACAAUAACAACACCCCUCCCCGAUCACCGUCGCCGGCACCAAGAGCGGCCCCCAUGAAGGAACCUGCACCACCACUAAAGAAGUCACGAGCACCGCCUCCCAAGCAAAGACAGAGAAAGAAGAAAACAAGGGAGCCUGAAGUGACUCGUAAGGAACGCUGGGAGGCAAUGUCUCAUGCGGAACAGUGGGCAGAAAUCCAACGAGAGGCCAGUGAGUGGUUCAAGAAACAAGCCGAAGAAAAAAAAGCAAGGGAGAUGGAGCCACCGCCAGUAAAUCGAAAAGAUUUAAACUUUCUUAUCAGGAUGGAAGAAGGAGCCAAUAAAAGGAUACCACUCUUAUCAAACUAUGAACGGGCUUUAGUAAAGGCUGAUGAAAAGGAUAAAAGGAAAGGAAAGUCAUCUUCCAGCAGUGCUGUCCCCGACCUCAGCCAUUUAUCAAAAAAAGACGCUCAACGGGUAAAAGCAAUGCCCUUGCAUCAACAAGCAGAAGUAUUGAAGAUCAUGCAAGAAACAGGUCUGGGACUUGAUGAAUGCCUAGGGCAAGUUGAGAUGCCAACUGCACCGCCCCCUGAGCCGAGAUGGCCUUAUGAGCUAGGCAAACCUCUAGUAAAGCCUUCAUUGGUACGGAAGCUAUCAACAAAGAUGUACGCAUUCCAUCAAUGGUACAUGAUGGUAUCCGCCGACUCGAGGGAGAUGCUCGGCCUGAAGGUAAAACCGAUAGAUUUUCACGGCGAAGGCGAGAAAGUGCUGUGGCUAGACUUCAAGGAUAUAUACGAAGUGUACCAUCAUGAUGCCCUGGACGUCUCUCUGAUCAGCGCUUGGGUUCUGUAAGUGUCCGUUUAUCUCUACAUGUAAAUUUUGGCGUGCGUCACCGUACUAACUUCGUCUUCCAUUUCAUGUAGGAUGCUAAUUCAGACAUGCUGCCGAGAGGCGUACCUACAUAUAGGCUUCAUGGAUCCAUCUGUAGUUAACCAACAACAGAUAUAAUUAGCGCCGAAAAAACCUUGGUGGAAGUAUACAAUUUCCUAGACAAACAAACAUUCAAGGAUUUCAUACUACUUCCAUACAACUUCAAGUAAGUGUGUGUAUACCGUCUACUUUCGAUGUCUUUUUCCUUAUCUCUACAUGUUAGUUAGCUCUAAUAUGCAUGAACAUUUUACGCACGCAGCUUCCACUAGAUCCUUAUUAUAAUUGAGCCUAAAAGAAGCCACGUCACUGUCUUCAAUUCGUUGAGGAAAGAUCUGGUGGAGUACCAAGAAAUGCAAGACAUGCUAGGCUUGUAAUAAUUCUGGACCUUUAUCUCUAUGCAAAAGUUUGUUUUCUAAAUUUUAUCCCUGUUACACUAUAUCAUUCAUUAUUCUAAUCCGCAGCGCAUGGAAACAAUUCAUAAGGACACACAAAGGUUCAUUCAAAGAAAAACUUAUAUGGAACACAGACUUCCCGGUACGUAUGAAGUCUGCACAUUUAUUACAUUGUAUAACAAGAAUAUUUCAUAACUUAUUUUUUUCCGCACUGAAGUGCUUAAGACAGGAACCCGGGAAUAAUCUAUGUGGCUACUACAUCUGUGAGCACAUGCACAGUUUUAUGGGACCCAAGGGACUAAAGAUGACGCCGCACAACUUUAAAGUAUGUAAAAUAAAACUAUUACUAGUUAAUUAUUUUCUAGCUCCUUAUAUGUAUUUGUUCGUGUAACAUUCACAAAUUUCCAAAUUAUAGAUGUUAAAUAUUCAACAAGGACUCUUGAAGGAAGAAAGAGUAGCGGCAAUAUGUGAAGGUCUCAUUGGAUUCCUAAUGGACGAGGUGGUAGAUCCAAAAGGAGAAUUUUAUUACGAUGGACGACAAUUAGACACUCCGAUCAGCAACACCUUGACGGGAAGAUUGUAGAUAGAUACUUUGAUUUAUUUGUAUAUAUAAUACGCGCUAAUUAUGAUCGAUUUGUACUAGUUGAAUUGUGUAUCAGAAUUGUGUAUAUAUAUAGUAAUUGUAUAAUUACAAAUCCCAUUCGUUUAAAUACUAGUUGAUUUCAUUCUAAAAAAAUCUCAACUACUAAAGGUUAACAAAAGGGCUGCGGUACUACGUACGUGAUGCAUGCAUGAAAAAUUCAGGCGCCAGGCAGUGCCAUGCAGGGCGCCAUUUAGUCCCGGUUGGACCGGGACUAAAGGGCCUAUCCCGCGCCUGGCGUGGCAGGCCCUUUAGUCCCGGUUGGUGACACCAACCGGGAUUAAAGGGGGACCUUUACUCCCGGUUAAAAGACCCGGGACUAAAGACCCCCCCCUUUUGUCCCGUUUGGUUUAUCCCGGAUGGAUUUUCGGGAGAUAUGCACCCUACCAACCGGGACUAAAGGCCAAUUCUCUACCAGUGACGAGUGCACGAUCAGACAUCCUGCAUUGUUAAGUCUUCGAUGAUACGGCUGCCUUGCUUCCUCAGCUUGUCAGCAACUGCUUCCUGACUGCUACAGUACAAUUAUUGCAUGGUAUCAAGGUAAUAUAUAUAGUGACUGAAUGAGCACAUAUAACAUAUGCAUUUAGGCCUCCAACUGGUCAUUGCACGAGCUGCCUCCUCUCCUUACCUCUGAAUUAUGGAGCCAUAUCCAACAACAACCUUGACAGUGAUGAUGAUGACGGCGAUGAUGAAAUUAAGAAAAGAAGCUUUAUGCAAAUUGCAAAAAGCUGAAAUAAGUGGUUGAAACAUUUCAAAUCACCAAAUGCCACAUUUGAAAUGACUAGAUGAAACAUCACGAAAUCAAUUGCAACAGUUGAAGAUGAAACAUUCAAACGCCUUGCCUUUCUCCAGAUUUGACCCUCCAAGCAUAUAUGAGUCCAGCCAUUUGCACAUUAGACCCUUGGGAGGAGCUCACCGGAGAACAACAAGACCGUGUUCUCCAACAAUUUUCCGAUCAAAUUGCAACAUAAAAAACAAAGCAUUGCAACACAUCUGGCAUCGCGAGCUACAACAUCAACCAGUUAGGAUCAGGAGAAAGAGGGCAAACCCAAGCCUAGCAAUGAGUUAUAUCCAGUUUAAACGAGGAUAAAAAUGAGUGUAUUUUCCACUCAUCAUGUUGUCUUUUCGCAGCUGUACCGCCUUUAGUGUGUUGUAUUGUUCCCCUAACACCAAGUCUCCGAGGCCCGAGAAAAUAAGGAAAGUGAUAGCAGCCUAGAAAUCGACCAAGUUUCUUUCCCCCUUUGGCAUUCCUACUAGGAUUCGGAAUACUCUUUCGCAUGACAAUCAUAAUUAUCUCCCAUAAUCCAAAACUCACAAAAACAUCAAAAAUCCGCCGAGAAUAAAUUAAGUAAAAAACAUGCACAAACAGAUAAUAAUAAUAAUCAUGUUUCAAUAAACUUGCUAAGGCCAGAGACAAUACAUAAACAUAUUAGACUGUUCAUGACACAUAUCACGGUGGACAGUGUCUGUGUCCUUAUUACAAGCAGCGAGAGGAAUUAAAUAUGCUUGUCACCACACACACGCGCCCACAGAUGCACGACACACAUAUAGUUGAGACCAACAGAUGGACCUCGACUAGAGGUCGCCCCAUAUGGUGAACAAUUUAUUGGAGAUAAACAUGAACAUAACUUGGCCAUAGCUUGAAGCAUAGCAACAUAUGCCUAUGAAUGGCAUUCAUGCUGGUAGCAAUGCAAUCAUAUCGUUUUAGGCUUGUCCAGCUUCUUCCAUCUUAGCAAGCACUGCCAUUUCUUCCAUCUUAGCAGCAACUGUCAAAUUGAGAUAUGGAAAUCCCAUUAGCGCAUGAGUUAAUUUUGCAGUGGAAAUAGAGUACAAGAUGUCUGCAUGAUGUAAGUAAUAUGCCUGAAGUUGUGAGAUGAGAAGUGAAGUCAACAAAUUACAUUAACGGAAAUGCAUGGAAGGCCACACAUACGUAUUAGUCCACGAUAUGCUACAAAGCUUGUAUGUACAUAUAACAAAUUAAAUGCAUUGAAUAGAGUGAGUUUACUAAAUUUACCAGAAUCGGACAGAACACAUGGGAAACAGCAAGUGUUCUUGCAGAGUGAGUCGGAGCCACCUGCAGUAAUACAAGCAAAACAACAUGCUUUUGCCCGGGCGGAUACGCAGCAGCUGCACUGUGCCGCGGUGGCCGGGUUAACAUUGAGGCUCAAGAUGACCAGGCACAUGAUCACCAUCAAAGCGGUAGUCCUCUUUCCCUCCAUUGCCUCCUCUUGCUGCUACCUUCCUUGGUUACCUAGCUAAGUUUAUUGGUUUUGUGUUGAGAGGUGAUUCUUGAAUGGACGUUGCCGGCUGCAAUUUAUAGGCAGCUGCGCUAUGUGAUGAUAUGGACAAGGUGCAAAUGGGUGGUCCAAUGGCAAGGAAAGGGGGUAUUCUGCUUGACAUUCGCAUCAGACAAAGCCCAAUGGCAACUGCUGACACGCGAUUAAAAUCAGAUCCACAUCUUAUCCAGCCAUUCACUAAUAAUUAAAGUAAACCCACGCGGUCCGCGAGAUGCAGCGUCCAUGCAUAGCACUUCCCGCCAAACAAUAGGAAAAAUUAGAAUUCAGAGAUAGCAGCUGCUUGCAUGAAACACGGUUGCACAGAAAUCAGUGGUGCUUGGACGGUAAGUAGUGUGGUGUACAAGCUUAAAGCGGCAGUGAGUCACGUUGGUGUAACAAGCAGUACAUCAGCUGGAAGAUUGAUAUGUCUAUUGCCCACGCAGCAUAGCAUUUUAUUAUGAUACAUUGAGUUAUGUCAUAUUGUUACUUUAAGUUAUUUUUUAAGUAUUAGUUGUAGACAAUUUAGUUGCAAAUUUAAGCGGUUAUUUUAAAUUAUUUUUUAUAAUGGCAUAAGUGGGUAAUUUAGAUGAAGAUUAGGGGGUUACUUUAGCUUAUUUUAUAUAAUAGCAGAGGUGGGUAAUUUAGAUAUAAAUUUAGGGUUACUUUAGGCUACUUUCUUAAUGGCAUAGGUGGGUAACUUUUUUAGAAAUUAUAAUAGAUCCAAUGGCUACGAUGUUUGAGUCUACUCGUUGAUGGCAAGAUGUUUUGCUUGUUUGUGGAAAUUUUAAAUAUGUCUCUUUUUUGUAGAGUGUCCACCUAGGAUCCUAGGUGGCUUCGCUUGGAGGCUUCAAAAGGAGCUCCAAAAUUAGUAAUAGUAUGAUUUUCUCAAAAGAGACUUAAUUCUACCACUAUAACUUGAUUGGCCGCCCCGGCCUCUACCUUUUGCCUCCAUUUGACUAUUUGAGUUGGCUGUGAACGAUUCUCGGCGCUAGCAACGUUACGUUUGAUCCAAAUGCCAGCACUCAUGUGCGCCACCUGUAUUCUAUGGGAAUGCCAUGAUGCAUGUGCAGUAACAGCGCGCACAUCUUGCAGGAUUCGCGCCUCGUUUUCACUAUUGUGUCAUCUUAGCAAUUAGGAGCGAAGUGUGCUUUGGGGUGGCAAUUAGGAUAUAGACAUUAUUCUCGAAGAGAAUCUUGAAGGCUUACAUUCACCCCCUCCGGUCGCCGGUUCCGAUCCUUCACCUAUAAAUUAGGAGUAGUAGUAGGUAGUAAGUGGCAGGUUAGGUAAGUACCCGUUGAUGAAUGUUGGCUUGGCGUGAUCGGCUCUGCUGGUUCCACGAAGAUGCCAAUAUACAGCAAGGACCUAAGUCCAAAGGGAAAAACAACCAACAAGUGGGUUUGUUGCCGACCGCUAGCUAAUCAACAGUGACGUACGGGUGGAUUCGUACGUAAAUAUUUUUUCAAUCAUGCCAUCAGGCCGCUGAUAAAAUGAGCUUAUGGUUGGCUAACCUUUAAAAUAUUCUUAGAGCUGUUGGCCAUUGUGAUAACUUUGCACGUGCAUCAUGAAGAUGCCAACAUACAAUAAGGACAUAAGACCAAAGGAAAGAACAACCAACAAGUGCCUCUGCUGAUCGGUCAGGUCUCAGAGUUUGAGAAACUGGAUCUGACGGAUGUGAAAUUAAUCCAUGCGUGGCGUCAUGCAAAUUUGUUCACAGGUUUGAACAGCAUGUAAUCUUUUUCAGGCAUCUAUAUGGAGCGUGGGUGUGUUAUGUUAUCUUCUACUACACAUAUAACAUCAAAUUCAUUCAGUUUGGCCGAGAGCCCAAAAUGCAACGAAUAUGCCAUCCAACGUGAAAAAAAAAGAUGAGGAACAGUAUACUCUAUCUUCGAAAUUAGUCAACGAGAUGCAGCUUCAAAAGAGAUAAGAGCAGACAAGAGGCACCAUGGGAUGCUGCAAAAUUUGGGAUCACGUGUGAGGAUCCCUAAUUAGGAAAAAAGAAUAAUUGAGCUAGCAACAAUAGUAGGACAUCUCCAUGCUCACCUUGUAUAGUAGCCACUGCUAGUGCGCGUGGAACACGACUGCCGGCCCAGUUGGCGCUAAGACAUCGUACGUGCAUUAAGUCUGAGGUGCUAGGACAGCUUCCUCUUGCUUCCCCACCAUAUCAUGAGCAACGAUCUCUUUCUUUCUAACUCAUGCUUGACUGUGACGGUGCUAUUAUAUAUUAUUGCAUGAUCAUCAAGAUAAGAUCGUAUAGUGACUGAGUGAGACAUCUAUGUACUAACUUGCAUUUAAGCCUCGAACUGUGUGUCAUUACGUGAGCUGCCUCCUGUCCUCGCCUCUGAAUUAUUGAACCGUUCCCAACAGCUAGUGUUGGUCUCAAAGGAAUUUGACACCAAACAGAUUGAUAAAGAAAAGAGAAUAAUACUUGGAAUUGGAAAAAGUUGAUCUCUCUAUACAAUGAGGUAGGGCUCCCCUUUUAUAGUGACCCAUCAGCCACUUUACAUUCCGAAAAUAUCCUUCCUCAACCACUACAUUCUUAGGAUAUGCCAUACAUAAAUGUCAUUUGAGGUGACGUGUACAAAUUGAACUCUUCCACGUGGUCACGUUUCUCACGCCUCUUGUUUUCCAACCUCGAGACUUCAUCUCAGAGGUGUCCCCAUAGAACGUGCGAGGUUAAUGAGUUCAGUUUCUUUUACUGCCGACGCAUAACAUGCGAGGAUGAACGAAUAUGAGGAACACUAAAUGCCAUCCAACGGGAAAAGAAAAGAUGAGGAACAGUAUACUCUAUCUUCGAAAUUAGUUAUAAAGAUUCAGCUUCAAAAGAGAUAACGAGGCGUCCAAGACUCGAGUAGCCAGUCAAGAGCAGACAAGAGGCACAUGAGUGCAUGCAUCCACACCUUGGGAUGCUGCAAACUUUUAUGAGGCUGCAAGCUGCAUACAUAAGUUUAUUUCACCUUUGUUCACAAUACUCUUCACACACCAUUCACACACGUCUCAGGGAGCUCUGCAGCAAUGGUGGAGAUCUUAGCUAGACUGCUCACUUCCCUUGUUGUCGCUAUUGCCAAAAACACAAGCUCACCUCUGCUAUUGCGAAGCAGGCCAAUUUGCUGUGGAACUUUGGCGACGACCUGAAGGACAUGAACUCGGUGCUGGAGUCCAUCUCAGCAGCGCUCCAGGACGCUGACACUGCUAGAAAAACGACCUUUCAUCCUCAACAAAAGUCCCGGUAGCUUUUUUACCCGGAACUAAAGAGGUUUUAGUCCUGCGCAAACACCUUUAGUCCGGGUUGCUGUUACCAACCAAGAGUAAAGGGUACGAUGGCACCAACCGGGACUAAAGCACCCCCCACGAGUUACUAUAAAGGAUUGCAUCCUCCACUUAGUCAGAUUUACUGUGUAGGUGAGAUGGUAAGGAAGCUAUGCGUGAGGCUUGAGAUCAUUGGUUCGAAUCCCACGCACCGCGCGCGCACGCGCAUAGUUUGAGUGAAAAAUCAUGUCACUUGUGAUCGGCCAAGGAGAAGUGGGUGCAGAUGUGGCUUAAGCGGCUGAGGCACGCCGCCAUAGACAUCUCGGAUUUGCUCGAAGACUACAAAGACACUAGCGAACCCUUAACAGCAAAGGUGAGUACUUAUGCAUGUCAACAUCUAUGUUGUCCAUGCUUCCAAUGCAAUAAGAAGGACUACUCUUCCUAGCGGACUCUUCACAACCACUUGUAAAGCUAUGUGUUUCUCAAUGCAAUUUCGUAGAAGGCAAUGGAUCCAACCAACCGACUAAAUCAUUCGUCCUUGCCAAUGAUGUGCUUCAGGUUUUCUAUAUGAAGGACAUGUGACUACUAGAAAAACGAUCUUUCAUCCCUAGCCUUAGUACCGGUUGCAUUUGGAACCGGUACUAAUGUAAACUGUCCGGAGCGCACCUCGAUGACCCCUUUAGUACCGGUUGGGGGCAACAACCGGUACUAAAGGGUGAGCAUUAGUACCGGUUGUUACCUUAAUCCGGUACUAAAGGGCUACCCACCCUCUAUUACCGGUUGGUGGCAUCAACCGGUACUAAAAGGGAUACCCUCUAGCACCGGUUGCUGCCACAACCCGGUACUAGUGCGGCGCCAUGCGGAAUAGAAGGUAGAUCGAUUGUACAUGGAGGGGGAACAAAGGGAGAAAGGCAAAUCAUCAGCUUAUUAUCACAUGGUAGACUAGUCUUUAAAACAUGUUUAGGGAAGAGCACAUUACGUUUAUCUUGUUUUGCACAACAACAAAUGUGACCUUUAGAAGAUAGCCCUCCUCUAAUUAAACUAGUGCACUAUUACAGGAUGGUAUCGCACGCUUCCUUUUUCCCUAUGAAAAUGAAGUUUUUAAUGAUCUGAUAGCAGCUAGCAAAACAAAUGAUUGCAAAGAUGUUUGCAGAUGAUAAUGAUACUUAUGACCACUCUGAUGAUGAAGAGAUAGAGGAACAUUUGGUCCGUCAACGUAUUUCAAAUUAACACGUCAAAUCGCACUCAAGACCUCUCACCAACUCCUCCACCAGUUUCCAAAGGCAAAUCAACUUAUUAUCGCAUGCAUGGUAGUGUCUUUGAAACAUGUUUAGGGCACAACACAUUACGUUUAUCAUCUUUUGCACAACAUUAAAUGGACCUUUGGAAGAUAGCCCUCCUCUAAACUUGUGAUGCAUUGUAAUGAUAUGUCAUGUAUAUAUGUCUCACUUGUAUCAUAGCUGUUAAAGUACCACGUCAAAUUGCACUUGCGGUGAGAUCUCUCUGACCAAGUCCUCCACCACUUUCCAAGGCAAAUCAGACAAACUCCUUGUUAUAUUCCACAUAUUGGUUUCAUCCUUAUAUAGAUGUCCAUUUAUACUCCUUUGUUUGUCUACUCAACUUAUCACAUUGUCGUAGUGUCUUUGAAACAUGUUUAGGGAAAGUCCAUAGUGGAGGGUAGUAAAUGUCAAAGGGAGUUUGUAAGGAUAAGACAACACAAAUUUUGUAAGGGUAUUCUAAAGCAUUUGAUUCUAAACUAUCCGCGAGACCUCUCACCAACUCCUCCACCACAUUCCAAGAUAAUAUACCAUCAAAUUCCUUGUAGGAGUUUGGAUGUUGGACCAACGGGAAGUUGACGAAAGAGUGGGACAAAAAUGUGACUCGAUCAUGUCAUUGUGGGCAAAGGUCCUGGUAGCUCAUGGAACAGAUCAUUUGAAGUACACAGGAUAGGGAGGCAAUAGUCGGCACAAGGAGAGGCAUGACCAGAAGCUUGAAAGAAGUAAACUUCAAAGCUAGGAGGAAUGAUAUUCUUGCUGGUUCAAUGUGUCUUCUUAUAGAUCAGUUCAUAGAUCUUAUGUAUUUGGCUGUGAUGAAAGCUAUGGAGCCCUCCCAGCCCCUUCGAGUUGAUGCUAAGCCCAAUCUAAACUGCACAUGGAAUGUGAAAACUCUUUCUGCAAUGAGCCAAGCUAUCAAUCCAUCCCUGUGAGGCAACAUCUCGAUUCUGUGGCUACUGACUGAGGUAUUUGGCAUAGAGUAGACCAAUGGUGCAUUGUGAAUAAGCUUAUUAGAAUGUGAAUAAGUCAUAAUUCUUGCUCGUCCUCCAUUUGUUCGCUCUCUGUUCUUUUGUUUACAAGGGACUCGGUUGAUCCGCGGGACCUCUCACCAACUCCUUCACCACUUUCCAAGGCAAAUCAGCUUAUCACAUGUGGUAGUAUCUUUGAAACAUGUUUAGGGCACAAGAGGAAGGCAUAGUGCUGGAAAAACGGUUAAUGGGGUGGCGGACGGCGGGAUGCUUUGCAUUCUCGUACGAAGGAAGCUCCAUCAACUAGAUUGGCGGUCAAGUUGCAUGAAGCAGAUGCCACAGUCGACGGAGAGAGCAUCUGGGUCUAACCAUAAUAACACAAGUCUUUCCUUUAGAUAACAUGCCAUCAGAUUCCUUGCAAGAGUUUGUAUGUUCGACCAACAGGAAGUUGACGAAAGAGUGGGACAAAAAUGUGACUCGAUCAUGUCAUUGUGGGCAAAGGUCCUAGUAGCUCAUGGAAUAGAUGAUAUCAUUUGAAGUACAUAGGACAGAGAGGCCAUAGUCGGCACAAGGAGAAGCAUGACCAGAAACUUGAAAGAGGUAAGCUUCAAAGCUAGGAGGAAUGUUAUUCUUGCUAGUUCAACGGUGUCUUCUUAUAGAUCAGUUCAUAGAUCUUAUAUAUUUGGCCGUGAUGACAGCUAUGGAUCCCUCCCAGCCCCUUUGAGCCGAUGCCAAGCCCAAUCUGAACUGCACAUGGAACGUGAAAACUCUUUCUGCAAUGAGCCAAGCUAUCAAUAUCCAUCCCUGUGAGCAAACAUCUUGAUUCUGUGGCUACUAACUGAGGUAUUUGUCGUAGUGUCUUUGAAACAAGUCAAACACCUUACCAGGGAUCAAGCUCCACGAGAACGAGAGCUACUUUCAGUUCCAGGAUAUUAAUCAACAAGUCAAACACCUUCCCAGGGGAUCAAGCUCCAUGAGAACGAGAGCUACUUUCAGUUCCAAGAUAUUAAUCAACAAGUCAAACACCUAACCAGGGGAUCAAGCUCCACGAGAACGAGAGCUACUUUCAGUUCUAGGAUAUAGGCAUAGCUGUGAGGGGGGCCACAACGCCCCUUUAUAUAAGGGCUACUGGUUUUGCCCUUGCCUUGUGAAGUUGUGCCACAUAACUCCCAAAAUCCCUCAAGAAAGAUAACACCACAAACAGGAAGCCAAGUAGCUAUGGAACCUGUGACAGAUAUAGCUUCCUCAUUAUGUGACUCAUGUCAUUGUGGGUGCGGGGUGACCUUGAUCUACAACUUUGUAGUUGAAAUAUUUUUCAUUUGGUGUCAUCUUGGUGCUCAAAUAAUCGACACGAACUAAAACUUGGCACCACACAUUCAAAAAAUAAUAAAUAUUUAAUAUGAACUCAGAUAUAGAUAAACUUUAUAUCAAAAUUGUUGAUAUAAGUUCAAAUUGUUUUCAUUUGGAGCCAUCUUGGUGCUCAAAUAAUCGAAACAUUUUCUAGAUCUAAAAUUUAAUUUUAGAUCUGAAACUUGUGUCGAUUAUUUGAGCACCAAGAUAAUACCAAAUGAAAAAUGUUUGAACUACAAAGUUGUAGAUCUCGUCGAGAUGUACAAUUUUCAUAUAAAGUUUAUCUCCAUCCGAGUUCAUAUGAAUUAGUUCAACCGGCGGUAAGGCUGCUACAGUGUAGCUUCCGCCGUUUCAAACGGCGGUAUAGGUUUAGAUUAGCAAUUUUUUUUAACCCAUAUAUUUUUGCAAAAUACUAAAAUAAAAAUAUAAAAAUAAAAAAAAUCUAGUUUUAAUCAACAAUGACUAAAUGUUAGCCCGGUUAUGCCCCAUCUUAGGUCUAAUCAUGGACCAAUAAAACAUGUGCUAGACUUCACGGCCACCGGAUGCGUGUUCGACCAUGUAAUCGUAUGCUAUACCUCACAGGAGGUUGAAAAUGGCCCGAAGGGGUACAGUGGAUGAAAACGUUGGGGACGCUCGGAACACAAGAAAAUGACCACCAGAUACGUGUUUGGCCAUUGUAACUAUGCGCUAUAGUUGAUAGAUUGAAAGCGGCUCGAAGAGGCAUCAGGGAUGGAAACAUGGGGAAUGGUCGGAACACUUGAAAAUGGCACUGGAUAAGUGUGCUUAUUCCUUGCAAAACGCUGAAAAUGGCUCGGAAGGGUCAUCGAGGAUGGAAACUAGGUGGUCAAUAAGUGAAAAUGGGCAGCGGACAUGUUCGGUCAUGUAACCGUGUGCUAUAGUCCACUAGAGGUCGGAAAGCUGCCCUAGGGGCUCUAGAGACGAAAACGUGAGGAACAGCUAAAAGGUUACGUGUUUGGUCAUGACAGCCCUAUUAGGAAGCGAUAGAAGUGGAAAGAUAGCUGGUUUCAGAUUGGCAACCCAUCUUUUGCUUCCCCUUACUUCCAUCCGUAAUCCAUGGGCAUCGAAUUUAAAAGUAUACAAAUCACUUUUAGAUGUAAUUGAGGGUAAAGAGGGGAGGUUUCGUGAGACUCUACAAUGUUCAAAUUGUUCGUUCGUUAGGAGGCCUCAGCUACAUACAUCAUUGCACUUCCGGUUGACACCAAUUUAAAUGGUUCGUCUAGCCGCUACAAGGUAUCAUCAGAUAUAGAAGAAUUAGAGACUGGGGGUAAUAGCAAAAAUGGAAUAUAACUCGUUCGAGAAAGUGGGUGCAGGGCAGUGGGGUAAGGUAAUUGAAGUAACUAGCUAGUUUCUUCCCGAAACUUCCCAAGAAAAAUCCCGAAUUGGAUCCAAAAUUGACGGAUUAAUCAACCAAAAUAACCGUGAGCAGCCACAAUGUUAUAAGUCCCUUCUUCUUGACCUAAUUUGUAACCCUUAUUAGCAGACUCAUUUUCACUGGUUUCCCUGAUCAAACUAGAGGUUACCAAGGAACCGUGUGCUCUAGCCCACAGGUGGCCGAAAACGGCCAAGAAGGGCUUCGGGGAUGGAAACAACGUGGAUGGUCAGAACACGUGAGAAUGACCACGGGAUGCAUGUUUGGCCCUAUAACAGUGUGCUAUAGGAAGCCGGAAAUGGCCAGGAGAGUCACCAGGGAUGAAGAUAAAGGGAUGGAUGGAACACGCGAAAAUGGCCACCAGUGAUUAGUGGCAGGUCUAGAGAGAUAUCUCAUCAAAUCGGUGAGUUAUAUCCGAUUUAAACGAGGAUAAAAAUGAGUGUAUUUUCCACCCAUCAUGUUGACUUUUCGCAGCUAUACUGCCUUUAGUGUGUUGUAUUGUUCCCAUGACACCAAAUCUCCAAGGCCCGAGAAAAUAAGGAAAGUGAUAGCAGCCCAGAAAUCGACCAAGUUUCUUUCCCACUUUGGCAUUCCUACUAGGAUUCGGAAUACUCUUUCGCAUGACAAUCAUAAUUAUCUCCCAUAAUCCAAAACUCACAAAAACAUCAAAAAUCCGCCGAGAAUAAAUUAAGUAAAAAACAUGCACACACAGAUAAUAAUAAUAAUAAUAAUAAUAAUAAUAAUAAUAAUAAUAAUAAUAAUAAUAAUAAUAAUCGUGUUUCUAUAAAAUUGCUAAGGCCAGAGACAAUACAUAAAAAUAUUAGACUGCUCAUGACACAUAUCACGGUGGACAGUGUCUGUGUCCUUAUUACAAGCAGCGAGAGGAAUUAAACAUGCUUGUCACCACACACACGCGCGCACAGAUGCACGACACACAUAUAGUUGAGACCAACAGAUGGACCUCGACUAGAGGUCGCCCCAUAUGGUGAACAAUUUAUUGGAGAUAAACAUGAACAUAACUUGGCCAUAGCUUGAAGCAUAGCAACAUAUGCCUAUGAAUGGCAUUCAUGCUGGUAGCAAUGCAAUCAUAUCGUUUUAGGCUUGUCCAGGUUCUUCCAUCUUAGCAAGCACUGCCAUUUCUUCCAUCUUAGCAGCAACUGUCAAAUUGAGAUAUGGAAAUCCCAUUAGCGCAUGAGUUAAUUUUGCAGUGGAAAUAGAGUACAAGAUGUCUGCAUGAUGUAAGUAAUAUGCCUGAAGUUGUGAGAUGGGAAGUGAAGUCAACAAAUUACAUUAACGGAAAUGCAUGGAAGGCCACACAUACGUAUUAGUCCACGAUAUGCUACAAAGCUUGUAUGUACAUAUAACAAAUUAAAUGCAUUGAAUAGAGUGAGUUUAUUGAAUUUACCAGAAUCGGACAGAACACAUGGGAAACAGCAAGUGUUCUUGCAGAGUGAGUCGGAGCCACCUGCAGUAAUACAAGCAAAACAACAUGCUUUUGCCCGGGCGGAUACGCAGCAGCUGCACUGUGCCGCGGUGGCCGGGUUAACAUUGAGGCUCAAGAUGACCAGGCACAUGAUCACCAUCAAAGCGGUAGUCCUCUUUCCCUCCAUUGCCUCCUCUUGCUGCUACCUUCCUUGGUUACCUAGCUAAGUUUAUUGGUUUUGUGUUGAGAGGUGAUUCUUGAAUGGACGUUGCCGGCUGCAAUUUAUAGGCAGCUGCGCUAUGUGAUGAUAUGGACAAGGUGCAAAUGGGUGGUCCAAUGGCAAGGAAAGGGGGUAUUCUGCUUGACAUUCGCAUCAGACAAAGCCCAAUGGCAACUGCUGACACGCGAUUAAAAUCAGAUCCACAUCUUAUCCAGCCAUUCACUAAUAAUUAAAGUAAACCCACGCGGUCCGCGAGAUGCAGCGUCCAUGCAUAGCACUUCCCGCCAAACAAUAGGAAAAAUUAGAAUUCAGAGAUAGCAGCUGCUUGCAUGAAACACGGUUGCACAGAAAUCAGUGGUGCUUGGACGGUAAGUAGUGUGGUGUACAAGCUUAAAGCGGCAGUGAGUCACGUUGGUGUAACAAGCAGUACAUCAGCUGGAAGAUUGAUAUGUCUAUUGCCCUGUGCAUAGCAUUUUAUUAUGAUACACUAAGUUAUGUCAUAUUGUUACUUUAAGUUAUUUUUUAAGUAUUAGUUGUAGACAAUUUAGUUGCAAAUUUAAGCGGUUAUUUUAAAUUAUUUUUUAUAAUGGCAUAAGUGGGUAAUUUAGAUGAAGAUUAGGGGGUUACUUUAGCUUAUUUUAUAUAAUAGCAGAGGUGGGUAAUUUAGAUAUAAAUUUAGACACGUUUAAAAAAAUGUAUCUACAGUUUCUGACACGGUCCGUGUGGAGACGCUCCAGACAUGCUUUACUCAAGCGCAUCUAUACUUCAGUAGAGAUGAAAUAAAGCGUAUCUAACAUAGGAAUAAAGCGUAUCUAGAGGAGGUUUUUCUUGUAGCGAGGGAUGAACCAUUAUUGGACGAACUAGCACACUUGCUUCUACCCGCUCCCCCACACCCCACAACCGCCCCCAGUGUGAGCGUCCAUGUCUCGAUCGUUGCUCGCGUUAAGCGGUGCCGCCGCACUGCACCACAACGACAGAAGCCACACCACCGGCUGCAUGUGACAGCGGGGAGCACCCUCACCACCUGCCCGCGGGGAGCGCUUACGCCAGCCAUAGUGUCCCCAUAGAACCGCCGCGCGAGCCUGUGAGCCACCGACUGCCGUGCCCCCAAGGGCCAUCACCGCGCCACCCGAGGAUGCUGUCUACCCGGUGCCACGCGCCUCUGCUAGCUGCCUGCACCUGGGCCGCCACCGGUCGCCUGCACAGCCACGUGUUGCAGCCGCCCCCUGCGCUGAGCCACCCCAUUUCACGUUGGAAGAACCACCUGAGUCUCGCACGCCGAGGUCUUGCUGGUGACGACCAUGGCCUCCGCGAUCAUAUGAAAAAGUUGUCAACUACAAAGUAUUAGGCCUCGUCGAUCUCUACAAUUUUGAUCGAAAGUUUCUAUUCAUCCGAGAUCAAAUGAAAAAGUUGGUACUCAAAAUAUACAUCCAUUAAUCUAGUCGUGCUAAUCCUUACCACAAAUUAAAAAACUAGCAUGUGUCUGUGUGUUUGUGACCCUAAACAAUCACAAACGAAUAACUUAUCAACUUCAAAAUUUAGCUGAUCAGGAGUCUAGGCAACCUCAAGGGUAUAAAUAUGUGCACCCUGAGGCUUGCAAGAUUUUAUCUCUCGAUUAAUCAAUGCAAUUUUUGGGCACCACGCAGCCAAACCCUUAGGAGUAGAAGUAACGUAGCUUUUUGUUGAGUAUCUUCUUGCGCGCAGGGCUGCAUCAGCUUCGAUAUCCGACGAACUUGUAAGUACCGUCAUCCGGUCAUUACGUUAUCUAUAUUAAAAGUUUCUAGACAUCAUCCAAUAUUCUAAUCUUUUAUCGUGUGGCUAUUAUCGAGUUAUCUUAUAUUGUAAAUAAAACUUGCUAGGGUUUGUCCAAUAUUCCAUUUGUUUUUGGCGUAACUGCUUAAUUAGAUCUGCUUAGGUUGUUCUCAUUGGCUUCUAGUCUUGUUUAAACGUUCACAAGUUAUUUGAUCGUAUCGGCAAGUUCGACCUUGCAUGCUUUUAUCGCUUUAUCUAUACUAGGUCCGAUAGAUCUUUACCCCUUCCCCUUGUAUUGCUAGCAGUUGGAUCCAUAACGUUAGAACGAUACUGUUGAGAGCUGAUGCAUUGAUUUAGUAUCAUCCAUAUCUCAUAGAAUGUAUCAUGGUUAAUGGCAAUUUAAUGAAAUUAUAAAGGAUAAUAACAAUCGUGCUUUCGGCGUUCCAAAAAUCAAUCAAGAAUUCAUCAUGGUUGUGCAGUGUAUGGAAACCUUAUGGUAAUAGUUAGAUGGGAAAUGUUGUAUUAUGUAAUAAAUCCAGGUACUUCACAAAUCAUGAUCGAUGGAUGUCUAACACUGUUGAAAGAGAUUGGAAUAAAGCAGACUCACCUCAGACUAUGCACCAUGUCUGAGUGACCCACCUCACCUUGCCAGGUCACUGGUCUUGCCAGCACACAAGCUAUGAUGUUGCCAGGAGUGGUCAGUACACAAAUCUAGCUACCAGUCGGAUCGAAGGGCAGGCAUUUGCAUUGUGGUUGUGCUUGAACAUGGAGAUGUCUUGCGAUUGUCACGCACCAUACAUCCUCUCUCAGUUUCACUCCGCCUCACACACGGAUAGGACACCAGGGACCCGACACCAUGCAUGCCGAUUUCAUAUUAUUAAUAUUUAUUUUUUGAAUGGUUGUUGAAACUAUAUAUAUAGUUAGUCCAAUCUCACGUUUCCGAUUAUAAAAAUUAACAUAAAGAGAUCGGAAGGGAGAGCACUAGAGCCGGCAUUUAUACAAACUGGUAUGAAUAGUAAAAUCUAGAAUUUAUAAAUAAAAAAUUGAUUUGCACAUCUAUGCAAUAAUUAGUGGUUAGUGGUAGGUCUAGAGAGAUAUCUCAUCAAAUCGAUGAGUUAUAUCCGGUUUAAACGAGGAUAAAAAUGAGUGUAGUCUUUUCGCAGCUGUACCGCCUUUCCUUUCAUGUGUUCUAUUGUUCCCCUAACACCAAGUCUCCAAGACUCAAGAAAAUAAGGAAAGUGAUAGCAGCCUAGAAAUCGACCAAGUUUCUUUCCCCCUUUGGCUUUUCUACUAGGAUUCGAAAUCCUCUUUCGCAUGACAAUCUUAAUUAUCUCCCAUAGUUCAAAACUCACAAAACUAUCAAAAAUCCACCGAGAAUAAAUUAUGUAAAAACAUGCACACACAGAUAAUAAUAAUAAUAAUCAUGUUUCAAUAAAAUUGCUAAGGCCAGAGACAAUACAUAAACAUAUUAGACUAUUCAUGACACAUAUCACGGUGGACAGUGUCUGUAUCCUUAUUACAAGCAGCGAGAGAUGCUUGUCACCACACACACGCGUGCACAGAUGCACGACAUACAUAUAGUUGAGACCAACAAAUGGUUGCCCCAUAUGGUGAACAAUUUAUUGGAGAUAAACAUUAACAUAACUUGGCCAUAGCUUGAAGCAUAGCAACAUAUGCCUAUGAAUGGCAUUCAUACUGGUAGCAAUGCAAUCAUAUCGUUUUAGGCUUGUCCAGCUUCUUCCAUCUUAGCAAGCGCUCCCAUUUCUUCCAUCUUAGCAACAACUGUCAAAUUGAGAUAUGAAAAUCCCAUUAGCACAUGAGUUAAUUUUGCACUGGAAAUAGAGUACAAGAUGUCUUCAUGAUGUAAGUAACAUGCCUGAAGUUGUGAGAUGGGAAGUGAAGUCAACAAAUUACAUUAAUGGAAAUGCAUGGAAGGCCACGCAUGCAUACGUAUUAGUCCACGAUAUGCUACAAAGCCUUGUAUGUACAUAUAACAAAUUAAAUGCAUUGAAUAGAGUGAGUUUACUGAAUUUACCAGAAUCGGACAGAACACAUGGGAAACAGCAAGUGUUCUUGCAGAGUGAGUCGGAGCCACCUGCAGUAAUACAAGCAAAACAACAUGCUUUUGCCCGGGCGGAUACGCAGCAGCUGCACUGUGCCGCGGUGGCCGGGUUAACAUCGAGGCUCAAGAUGACCAGGCACAUGAUCACCAUCAAAGCGGUAGUCCUCUUUCCCUCCAUUGCCUCCUCUUGCUGCUACCUUCCUUGGUUACCUAGCUAAGUUUAUUGGUUUUGUGUUGAGAGGUGAUUCUUGAAUGGAUGUUGCCGGCUGCAAUUUAUAGGCAGCUGCGCUAUGUGAUGAUAUGGACAAGGUGCAAAUGGGUGGUCCAAUGGCAAGGAAAG